rnacentral:rRNA from 1 species
GGGCUUGACAUCCCACGAACCUGCCCGAAAAGGUGGGGUGCCCGCAAGGGAGCGUGGAGACAGGUGGUGCAUGGCUGUCGUCAGCUCGUGUCGUGAGAUGUUGGGUUAAGUCCCGCAACGAGCGCAACCCUCACCCCUAGUUGCCACCGGGUUAAGCCGAGCACUCAAGGGGAACUGCCAGCGUCAAGCUGGAGGAAGGCGGGGAUGACGUCAAGUCGUCAUGCCCCUUACGCCCUGGGCUACACACGUGCUACAAUGGCCAGUACAAAGGGACGCGAGACUGCGAAGUGGAGCUAAUCCCAAAAAGCUGGUCUAAGUUCAGAUUGCAGUCUGCAACUCGACUGCAUGAAGGAGGAAUCGCUAGUAAUCGCGUAUCAGCCCGGCGCGGUGAAUACGUUCCCGGGCCUUGUACACACCGCCCGUCGCACCACGAAAGCUGUCUGUACUCGAAGUCGCUGAG